UCUUCUAAUUCAUCUUCACACCAUUCACGUCAAUUUCCUUGUCAUUCUCAACCCAAAAUCACGCAAGAUAUUGCAAAUCACCCAACCAAUCUCGAUUUUGAUUCUCGAUUCUGCAAUAUCUAACUCCAAAUUACACACGACAUGUUCAAUCCAGUUUGAAUUCAUCUCAAUUCGAGCUAUCAAUCACACGAUCAGUUCAAUUAAUUUCAAUUUGAUUACUCAAUAAUUGCAAGCGAUUUCUCUGCAUUCACACCACUCGUGCAAUCGCUUUUUGUGCUCUCUGCAAUUCACUCCACAAAUUCGUUCGAAUAUGGGUGAAUCGAUUAGCAACUUUAAUUUGGAUGUUUUUCCAGAAUGUGAGCUUUGUCAGAUUAUCAAUUGUCCAUCGAUUUUUCAUGCGUUGUUGCGAUGUGGAUUAUUUAGAUUCAGUGAUGGAUUAUUUGCCGAUUUUGUCAAAUUGAAGAGUAGUUUGUGAUUUUGAUUGACGAGAAGUUUUUGUUGAUCCAAUUGUAUUUGCAUGUGUGCCAGCAUGCCCCGGCAAACUCUGGCCAUAUGUUGGUAAGAAAGUCCUUACAUUAGAUGAGGGCUUUGGCUUUUAUGAAGGUUAGCCGAUGUUGUUCGUGGACCAGCUCGAAGUUUGGGAGAAACUGAAAUUCCAUCAGAUCCAAAGCAGCUCUCAAAGAAUAAAAUUGCUGACAUUUUUUUCAGUUACAUGAAAAAAUCUAAUGGUGAUAGUGCGAUCAUUGAUUCUUUUUCAGCUGGAAUGGAUGAGCUUGGGAAGAGUCUUUUGACAAGAAUCCAUGAACUAUCUUUGACAGACAAGGGUAACACAGUUGAAGAUUUCUAUUUUAUUGAAAAGGUGGUUGUGGUUGAAUUACAUCCACCAUCAGUUGUGUCGACCAAAGGUUCGGCAAGUGAUCCUAAAAGUCGUUUGGUGUCCGCGAAGGAGAAGGCUAUAAAGUUGAACAGCAAACCAUUGAGUCAGUGUAAAAAAUGUGGAGAAUUAGGUCACCAUGACUCUUGGAACUGUGGCCGACAAAAGGGAAAAUAAAAUUGUUAGUUCAUUUUUUCAUUACCAGAUUGCAGUCUUAUACAUUGUAUAUUGCAGUAUUAGUAUCGCCAUAUUGCAGUCUUAUACUUUGUAUAUUACAGUAUUAGUAUCGUCAUAUUGCAGUCUUAAUGUAACGAUUGCAGACCACACUAUUUGUUUCAAUCUAUUAUUUCCAGAAGGAUUAAUUAUUAAUUUUAUACUA